GUUCAGCUGACGAGUCCCAAAUAGGACGAAAUGUGCGUCCUGGAU
rnacentral:hammerhead_ribozyme from 1 species